CUGCGUGUGCUGUCCCGGCGGCGGUCUGGCACCCGCGCCCGCCUCCAGGCUCCGCUGCUGGACCAGACGGCGGGGGUGGCGCGCUGAGCCCGGCGCAGAAAGAUACGCCCAGGGUUUCAGAGUCGAUGGAGUGUAUUCAGAUGUUAUAUUAUUAUGACUCCUCGGAUGUCGACGAAUGAUGGACAAACACGUGAUGAUUACGGAGCCUCCACUGCUGUGUCCGUGAGCAGGACUCUUGGGAAAAGCCUGCAUUCGUGCAACAAUGAAUGAGCGAUGAGCCUACCUGGUGGACCGGCCCGGACUCUCAUCCUAGAGGCUUAGAACCUCGGUCAACACACCCUUCUCAGGUCACGGCUGCUGUGCUUGUCCACACACCAUCAAAACUGGGCAGAGAGGCAGGCUCAGGCCAUCCGGAGUUGCCUGAGGCCCACCCACGCUGGGAAGAGGGUCUGCUUUGCUGGCCUGCCAAUUCAAAUUCAAAUUUCAUCUGGAAACACCAUCACAGAUAUACCCAGAAUGAUACUCAAUCUGGGCACCCCACGGCCAGUCAAACUGACACAAAAAAUUACCCAUCCCCCAGUAAGCCUCCUACAGGAGCAAUUCCUCAAAUCCACCAUCUCGGAUGAGACAAAUGUCCCCAAGCUCAGGCUUGCUGCCUCAUGGUCACAAGAUGGUGUCACAACUCCAUCUAUCAUGUGCUCCUGCCAGUGUCCCAGCCAGAAAGGGAGGGAAGGAGGCCAAAGAAAAAAAAUAAAAAGAUAAAAGAUC